UAAUAAUACAGGGUAGUGAUUGUGGCGUUCGUAUUGCAUAAGGCUACUCACGCGCAGUCGUUGUGUUCUCACUGCUCAAAGCUAGCGCUGCCGUGGGCAACCUAAAGCCAGAGUAAACGUCUGCGGGGCCGGUUCAUGGAUAAGAGUGAAGUCUAUGAGGUUGGAGUGAUUGUUUUCCAAAUGCUGUGGGGGACGCAGAACGUAGAUCACUCCAAGCAUCUGGCUACUGAAUCAUGCAGAUUUCAGGAUUUCAUCGAUGCAAAUAUCCACGAAAAAAGGUUCUUCGAGUACGAGGUGGCUAAACUCGCGAGAAUUGCCUCUUGCACCAACGAGUAUCUCUAUGAUAGGCCAUCCGUGGAGUCAGUGAUUCACGAGCUACGUAACGGGCAGCAGCUGUCUCUGAAUGACAGGCCUUAUUUGAUACGUGUUCCAAGACCUGUUUCGACGGUUGAUGGUGAAAGCUGGGCUGAAGAAGCCAACUGUGGCCGAUGUAGUGACCUACCGGCUUCGACAUUUUUUUUUGUUUUGGUCCUUUGCCGUAGGGCUGUGCUUUCUUGCGUAUGUUCAAGCCUGUUGCGGACGCAUUGCUUUAGUUUGCGCUUGUACAAGUGCUUUGCGAAAAAUUCUCUUCGGGAGUAGGUACAUUUCGAUUUUAGAUGUUCGA